UCUGAGGAGUUCGAUGAAAAAUAUUUAAAUUUAAAUUUUAGUCUGCCAUCCAAAUUCCAUGCAACUUGUGAGAAUCCUGACCGAGCAGCGGCACUUCAAGCAGUGAUUAGUGAGCGUGUUUCGCAUUUGCGUGAAAUAUAUUUGCUCGGUCAUGGAAGAAAAGCUUGCUUUCACACUUCAUGCCAUCAGUACCAUACAUUCGGACUCAUUGAACUACUUUGCCACUCAUCAUCGAACAUUGAAUCGCAAAAAUAACGUUGGAAGACCUCAAACGCAGUCUCGGCCAUUGGACAAAAUUGUGAUUUUUCAUAGUUUAGGUUCAACGAAUAAAAAAAUACAAUAGACAAUA